AACGAACGCUGGCGGCAGGCCUAACACAUGCAAGUCGAGCGCCUCGCAAGAGGAACGGCAGACGGGUGAGUAACGCGUGGGAAACUACCAUUUGGUACGGCACAACUCGGCGAAAGCUGAGCUAAUACCGUAUGUGUCCUUCGGGAGAAAGAUUUAUCGCCAAAGGAUGUGCCCGCGUCGGAUUAGCUAGUUGGUGGGGUAACGGCCCACCAAGGCGACGAUCCGUAGCUGGUCUGAGAGGAUGAUCAGCCACACUGGGACUGAGACACGGCCCAGACUCCUACGGGAGGCAGCAGUGGGGAAUAUUGGACAAUGGGGGCAACCCUGAUCCAGCCAUGCCGCGUGAGUGAUGAAGGCCUUAGGGUUGUAAAGCUCUUUCGCCCGCGAAGAUAAUGACUGUAGCGGGAGAAGAAGCCCCGGCUAACUUCGUGCCAGCAGCCGCAGUAAAAC
rnacentral:rRNA from 1 species